AUUGAACGCUGGCGGCAGGCUUAACACAUGCAAGUCGAGCGGGGUGAUGGUGCUUGCACUAUCACUUAGCGGCGGACGGGUGAGUAAUGCUUAGGAAUCUGCCUAUUAGUGGGGGACAACAUCUCGAAAGGGAUGCUAAUACCGCAUACGUCCUACGGGAGAAAGCAGGGGAUCACUUGUGACCUUGCGCUAAUAGGUGAGCCUAAGUCGGAUUAGCUAGUUGGUGGGGUAAAGGCCUACCAAGGCGACGAUCUGUAGCGGGUCUGAGAGGAUGAUCCGCCACACUGGGACUGAGACACGGCCCAGACUCCUACGGGAGGCAGCAGUGGGGAAUAUUGGACAAUGGGGGGAACCCUGAUCCAGCCAUGCCGCGUGCGUGAAGAAGGCCUUAUGGUUGUAAAGCACUUUAAGCGGGGAGGAGGCUCUUUUGGUUAAUACCCAAGAUGAGUGGACGUUACUCGCAGAAUAAGCACCGGCUAACUCUGUGCCAGCCGCCGCCGUAA
rnacentral:rRNA from 1 species